GUUGAUCCUGCCAGAGGCCGCUGCUAUCCGGCUGGGACUAAGCCAUGCUAGUCUAGGGGCUUGUACUCCUUCGGGGGUGCAAGCACCGGCGGACGGCUCAGUAACACGUGGACAACCUGCCCUCGGGUGGGGGAUAACCCCGGGAAACUGGGGCUAAUCCCCCAUAGGUGAUGGGUGCUGGAAUGCCCCAUCUCCGAAAGCGCUUAGCGCCCGAGGAUGGGUCUGCGGCGGAUUAGGUAGUUGGUGGGGUAACGGCCCACCAAGCCUAAGAUCCGUACGGGCUGUGGGAGCAGGAGCCCGGAGAUGGACCCUGAGACAAGGGUCCAGGCCCUACGGGGCGCAGCAGGCGCGAAACCUCCGCAAUGCGGGAAACCGCGACGGGGUUAGCCGGAGUGCCCGUGCAUUGCACGGGCUGUCGGGGUGCCUAAACAGCACCCCAUAGCAAGGGCCGGGCAAGGCCGGUGGCAGCCGCCGCGGUAAGACCGGCGGCCCGAGUGGCGGCCACUCUUAUUGGGCCUAAAGCGUCCGUA
rnacentral:rRNA from 1 species